rnacentral:rRNA from 1 species
UACGUAGGGUGCGAGCGUUGUCCGGAAUUAUUGGGCGUAAAGAGCUCGUAGGCGGCUUGUUACGUCGGAUGUGAAAGCCCGGGGCUUAACUCCGGGUCUGCAUUCGAUACGGGCAGGCUAGAGUUCGGUAGGGGAGAUCGGAAUUCCUGGUGUAGCGGUGAAAUGCGCAGAUAUCAGGAGGAACACCGGUGGCGAAGGCGGAUCUCUGGGCCGAUACUGACGCUGAGGAGCGAAAGCGUGGGGAGCGAACAGG